AGAGAAUCAGUUGGAUCCCGAUACAAUUUGUUGUUCAUUUAGAUCAAAAGAUGAUUGAAUUGAUGGAAAUGGAUUAACAUUUUAAUUUCUUAAUGGAUCGGCUAAUUACUUCAGUGAUAUAGGUAUUUGAUGUAGGUAUGUGACUUCAAAAAAUUAUCAAACAUCUAAUAUGGCCCUCUCAAAUCGUCUCAAAUUGUCAGAGUCAAGGAGUUUUUGGUUAACAAAAUGGAUUAACAACAAUCAUCUGUGAUAACUGUUGGAUGAUAAUGCCGAACCUCAAAAAGUCAAAGUGUUUCUUGCCUUUCAUUUGGUUAGGACUCUGAGUAAUCUUAAUACUCACCUCAAAACUAUCGGUGCGAUGGUCAAAUGUGAUUAUACUUUUCAUUGCAUGAAUAUCAAAAAACACAUUGGAUAAUAAGAUUUCGACGUGGAGCUGGCCCAUUACGUGAAGCAAUAAAGCGAAAGGCAUUAACAGCUUCUAUUAACGCAAGUGAUUCAAAUUCAUCCAAAGAUAUUCGGUUGGAC